AUGUUGAGAUAUGAUCUCGAGGACCAGCUCUCGGUCAUUUACGCCGACGAAGAGGCCUACUGGCGGUUGCACGGCACCCAACGGUGGGUGCUCCAGGGCAACGCCAACACGGCCUACUUCCAGGCGAUUGCCAACGGCCGACGUCGCUGCAACUCCAUUCACUCCCUGUGGGCGGGUGAUACUCAGCUUGUUCGACCCUCGGACAUCCGCGCCCACGUAGAUGGCUUCUAUAAAGCCCUUUCACCCCCACCCCUCGGGGUGGGGCUGUGCUGGCCCCCGAUACCUGGUCGGGUGCCCAGCUUGUUUCCGCCGAGGCCAAUGCUGCUUUAG
rnacentral:rRNA from 1 species